GAAAAAAGAAUUGGCCUUAACUGAUAGUAUUUGGAAAUUUUGGUCAUUAACCUCUCUCUUUUAUUGUAGGGGGUGAGGGGCAUUUGAUCUGCAACGGUUGAAUUUAAUUUAAUUUAAAUUUUGGUGAAAAAUUUGGAGUGAUGGAAGAUUGUCUUAAAAUCCUGUCAGAGAAAUGGAAUAUAUAUAAUAAUGAGAUUAGAGUAUUUGGUUAAUCAUUUCUAUAUGAAUAUUUUUGGGCUUGUCAGUUAAUCAUGUACUGGUUGAUGUACCUGGGAUGCAAUGCUUCUCUGGUAUGUUCCUGUGUGCUUAAGGUUGUUUCUUUUAUUAGUUAUCGGCACUUUUAAUAUCACAAGGGUGUUCCUUGCUAUUACUCUGUCUAACUUGGUUCUGGAAGGGAGAAUUUGAAGUCUUUCGCUUUAACAUAUUGAUGUGAAGUUGCUUCUUUUAAGACUUGAAGCUACAUCCUUGCUUUAAACUUAAUAUGGGGUGGCCUGGAGGUAAAGGCAGGAAAUUUCUCUGCACCACCCAGGUUUGAUUCCUGGCCUUGCAUGCUAGUAAGCCAAGGACAGGGCUCAUCACUCCAAGAUUUGCACAAAUCAAUCAUUUGGCUAGGAUUUCUGUUUUUUAAAAUAAAGAAAAGAAGGGAAAAGAUAGCUGCACCCUCCAAGAUUGCAUAACUUUGAACAUUUUUUUAACUUUUAUUUGUAUAAAAUUAGCUUUAAAAGAGUAAAUUAUAUGAAAUAUUCUUAAUGCCAUGCUCAUUAUUUGGAUGCAUUGGUAAUUCUAAGGUGUAGACACCCUUAUAAUUUAUAACCACCAAAAAAUGUGCACCAUUAUGUCUUCCUUGUAUCUUAAUUUUGAGAAUUAGAU
rnacentral:misc_RNA from 1 species